rnacentral:rRNA from 1 species
UACGGAAGGCAGCAGUGGGGAAUAUUGCACAAUGGGCGCAAGCCUGAUGCAGCCAUGCCGCGUGUAUGAAGAAGGCCUUCGGGUUGUAAAGUACUUUCAGCGGGGAGGAAGGCGGUGAAGUUAAUAGCUUCACCGAUUGACGUUACCCGCAGAAGAAGCACCGGCUAACUCCGUGCCAGCAGCCGCGGUAAUACGGAGGGUGCAAGCGUUAAUCGGAAUUACUGGGCGUAAAGCGCACGCAGGCGGUCUGUCAAGUCGGAUGUGAAAUCCCCGGGCUUAACCUGGGAACUGCAUUCGAAACUGGCAGGCUAGAGGUCUUGUAGAGGGGGGUAGAAUUCCAGGUGUAGCGGUGAAAUGCGUAGAGAUCUGGAGGAAUACCGGUGGCGAAGGCGGCCCCUGGGACAAAGACUGACGCUCAGGUGCGAAAGCGUGGGGAGCGAAACAGGAUUAGGAUACC